rnacentral:tRNA from 1 species
UUAGCUCAGUUGGGAGAGCAUCUGCCUUACAAGCAGAGGGUCACAGGUUCGAAUCCUUUAGUCAG